AACGAACGCUGGCGGCAGGCCUAACACAUGCAAGUCGAGCGAAGCCUUCGGGCUUAGCGGCGGACGGGUGAGUAACGCGUGGGAACGUGCCCUUUGGUACGGAAUAGCCCCGGGAAACUGGGAGUAAUACCGUAUGUGGUCGAGAGACGAAAGAUUUAUCGCCAAAGGAUCGGCCCGCGUUGGAUUAGGUAGUUGGUGGGGUAAUGGCCUACCAAGCCGACGAUCCAUAGCUGGUUUGAGAGGAUGAUCAGCCACACUGGGACUGAGACACGGCCCAGACUCCUACGGGGGGCAGCAGUGGGGAAUCUUAGACAAUGGGGGAAACCCUGAUCUAGCCAUGCCGCGUGAUCGAUGAAGGCCUUAGGGUUGUAAAGAUCUUUCAGUGGGGAAGAUAAUGACUGUACCCACAGAAGAAGCCCCGGCUAACUCCGUGCCAGCAGCCGCAGUAA
rnacentral:rRNA from 1 species